rnacentral:rRNA from 1 species
GUAGGUGGCAAGCGUUGUCCGGAUUUAUUGGGUUUAAGGGUGCGUAGGCGGUUCCUUAAGUCAGUUGUGAAAUACGGCAGCUUAACUGUCGAGGUGCAAUUGAUACUGGGGGAACUUGAGUACUGAUGAGGUAUGCGGAAUGGACGGUGUAGCGGUGAAAUGCUUAGAUAUCGUCCAGAACACCGAUAGCGAAGGCAGCAUACUAAGGAGUAACUGACGCUGAGGCACGAAAGUGUGGGGAUCAAACAGGAUUAGAUACCCUGGUAGUCCACACUGUAAACGAUGAUCACUCGAUGUUGGCGAUACACGGCCAGCGUCUUAGCAAAAGCGAUAAGUGAUCCACCUGGGGAGUACGCCGGCAACGGUG